CCCAUUUCCCAUUUCUCGAAAUAAUCACCGUAUGCUUUUUUUGUGCAGCUCGAGGUCCGAUGGCAUCAGUUGGUGUGAGCGAGCGUGUGUUGCAACUCGCGAAUUUGUACUGGCGAAAAUUUAGAGCAAG
ensembl:ncRNA C52G5.11 ncRNA